CCUGGUAAACCAAAUGCCCUGUACCAAGGAGUCCACAUAGGAGCCUGACAGGGGUGGCUGCUGAUGGCUUAGGCUUGUGCAUCACUUGCCCUGGGAUGUGGGGGCUCCAUGUACCCUAGUAGUGUUACCAGAAAGGAGUCCCAGUCCAUAGCCCAAGACAGGGCUUUUGGAUCUUGACUGAGUAUAGUUAUGGUUAUUCCUUGAUUAUAUGCUAAACAACGGGUGGAUUGUGAGUUUUCCAAGAAAGGGGAGGGGAUUUUUCUGAACUGAGGGUCCCUCCCCUUUUUAGACCAUAUAGGGUAACUUCUGUACGUUGCCAUGGCAUUUGUAAACUGUCAUGACGCAGGUGAGAGUGUCUUUUAGCAGCUAAUGCAUUACGAUUAGCGCAUAAUGAGCAGCGAGGACGACUGGAGGUUACUUUUGUCACCAUCUUGGUUUUGGUGGGUUUUGGCCGGCCUCUUUACUGCAUCCUAUUGGAUCAGCAGGGUCCCGGUGACUUGUAUCUCAUGAUACUAAUCCUGCCAACCUCCUAUCUGAUCCUGUGACUAAGAAUGCCUAACCUGAGAAUGCAGCACGGAAGGUUCAGCCUCAUUUUUCCCAGCCCCUACUCAGCAUGGAGUCGCUCUAGUUCACUCACUGUGACAGUGAUGAUCUGUCCUUUACUGGGGCUCAGCCUUCACCCACUGAGGGACUGUGGAUGGGAGAAUGUGUUUGCUUGGUGGGGAUGACCAGCCGAAUUUCCCAGCCCCUGUGACCCAGAGGCUCUUCCAAAACACUGAGACUGGAGAGGAUUGGGGGGUCUAGAUGUGGGUGGGCACAAGAGGCUGGUGAUGGCUUCUUUUUCACGAGGGGAGGAGCACACUUGCCAGGAAGAGGCUGAGUGCAGCAGAGAGCAGCAGGACUGACUUUUGAGGCAAGGUUCCUGUGGAGGGAGGAGGGAAGAAACUGGAGAGUGAUGCCUGGAGGCCAAGGUGGCACCACUGGGACCUUCCACAGCUCCUGGGGGGAACCUAGGAUAGGCCCAGGUGAGCAGGAGGGAAGGGAGGGUACACCCUGGGAGUGCAGGGUGGGUGCUGGUUUAGGGUGAGGACCUGAGGAAGCAGGAGAGGUUAGGAGGACCACGCUGAAAGUGAAACCGCCUUUGCAAAAACUCUAUCAGUGAGAAAAAUUGUAAGAGUGAGCUGAGCUAAAGCACCCCCCAUCUUUCCUUUCCCUUAAUGAUUCCUGGGCUUUUGGGCUGAGCUAACCUUGGGAGACAUUUAAUUUAUGGUUUAAAUAACAACAGGUCUCCCCCAAAAUUCUUCUGCCUCUGUAAAGCUAAUGAAAAACUUUGAGCUAAGGUGUAGACCGCUGUAGCAAAAUACACAAUUUCCCCUACUGUAGAUUGGUCUUUUGAAAUAUCUUUUCAGGUUUUUUGCAUGUCUGGUUCCCAUGGCUCUACCUGGACCCGCCAACCUCACUCCUGUGGCACUUCCCUAAGAAGCAAUUUAGCCUGCAGGACAGCUUUGACCCCUCUAUGAGUUCAUGUCUGCCCCAGCCAAUCAGUACCUGUUACUUGGCCUCCUGUGACCCCCCAAACUGCCUUGGAAAACCCCUACCUACGAGCCUUUGAUGAAAUGAUUUAAGUACAAACUCUCUCUCCCAUGUGGUGCGGCCUGCCUGUGUCUAUUAAACUCUUUCUUUACUGGAAUGCAUGGUCUUUAUUUAGGAAGGGAGCAGGAGGAACCCCUUGGGUGGUUACAAAAGAAAGGAUGAAAUCCCUUUGAAAUGAGCAGUACAGAACUCCAAAGGAAGAGGUGGGGUCUGUGUGUUUCUUCUGCGACCUGAAAUAAAUAAUUGAAAGGCUCAAAAUCCAAUGUUAUGGAGUUUAUUCUAAGUUUGAGGACCACCACUCAGAAAACACAGACUCUAAAGGAAUGGGCUCGGUGCUCUGAGGUGGAGGGAUUAGCGCUUCACUUAAAUGGGAAAAUACAAGAAGGUUUAGCAUGAUUACAUUUUCCACAUAAGACUGGCUUAUGAGUUGCAGCAAUUUGUUUGGUUAUAUCUUGUUCCCUUUGGGAAAAGUAUAUUUAACAAACUGUCUUAUGAUAUUUGAUAGACAUGGUGUCUUUUGUGCCAUCUGGUCUGAGUUGGGGGCAAGAAAAGAAAGAAGGAAGUUAAUCUAUAAUGAAAGGUCAGUAAGGAAGAGAAGUAAGGGUUCUUACAUCUGGUGCCAUUUAGUCUUUCAUAACAUGUUACAAAUCAAGAAAGGAAGAGCGUCAAUCUAUAAUUGGAGAAGCAAAGUUCACAGUGACUUGCAGAUUGACCAGGGUCUCACAAUCACAUUCCUUCAGGGCUCAAAGUAACUUAAAGUUCCAACAGCUUUAAUUUGAUGAGCUUAUUGUCGACAAAAAGAGUCAAACUCUGCAAAAUAUUUGAAGAGAUUUAUUCUGAGCCAAAUCUGAGUGACCAUGGCCCAAGACACAGCCCUCAGGAGGUCCUGAGAACAUGUGCCCAAGGCAAUCUGGGCACAGCCUAAUAGUAUACAUUUUAGGGAGACAUGAGACAUCAAUCAAAUACAUGCAAGGUACACAUCGUUUCCAUCCAGAAAGGUGGGACAAGUUGAAGAUGGAGCGGGGAGGUUCCAGGUUAGAGGUAGAUUGAAAUUUUUUUUUAUUGGCAAUUGCUUGAAAGAGUUAUUAUCACUAGAAAGGAAUGUCUAGGUUAUGGUAAGGGAUUUGGAGACUAAAGUUUUAUCACGUAGAGGAAGCCUCCACAUAGCACACUUCAGAAAGAAUAGAUUGUAAAUGCCUCUUAUUAGACUUAAGGUCUGUGUUGAUGUUCCAUGCUGGUCAGCCUUUGCUGAAUUUCAAAAGGGAGGAGGACAUAGAUGAGGCAUGUCCACCCCACCCCACCUUCUCUUCACAGCCUGAACCAGUUUUUCAGGUUAACUUUGGGUUGCACUGGCCAAGAGGAGGGGUCCAUUCAGAUGGUUGGGGGAGUGGGCUUAGAAUUUUAUUUUUGGUUUACAGUAUUUUCAAGCUUCUAACACCAUGAGCCAUCUUCUGCCAGGUGUGGCCCUGGGGAGGGGCCCCUUACCAUGAGACAGGAGGUGCUACCACGGCUAGGCAGCUACUCGUCAUCAGGCCACAGAAGAGCCUCUUGGACCUGGGGAAGGACCUGUGAGACUCUGUGAAGAGGAAAGCUCUCCUAGGCAAAGUCGGUGCGUCUGAGGAGUCAGCCUGGACUCGAACUUUUGACACUGGACCGCUGCUGGCUUGCUGCCGGGACCCGAGGGGCCCGAGGACACAGGGAGGGGCAUGGAGGGGGAAAGCAGCCAGACUCCGCCCAAGCAAUUUAGGCGUCUGCCUCGUCUGUGGUUUCCCACACCCCCAGCUCACCGAGUGGCGGGACAGCUCCUGGAGAUCCCCAGGGAGGCAGGGUCCAGGGAUUGCGGUGAGGCCCUGCGCCCAGGACGGCUGCGCCCCACCUGAGGGAAGAGUCACUCCAGUCCCUCUGGGCUGGUCCACGUGCAACCACGGGUGCUGGGUGCUGUUUCAGGUCCCAGUACACAGCACAGAGUGCACAGCAGGCCCCCGCGGAGGAUCAACACAGUGGCUGAACACCGGGAAGGAACGGGCACUUUAAGUCUGCACAUCUGAAACUUGGUGAAAGGUGGAGAGUGCUCCAAGCAGCAACCAAGUGGCUAGAGGAACAUGUACCAGCUGAUUACCAAAACCCCCAAGAGUAUGUAAGGACCCAGUUACCAGGAACCGACCCCUGGUGGGACCCAAAUAAAGGGGGGGUGUGCAAAGGCUGAACCGAUACAGGGAGAAGCUCUCCUGGAAGGAUUAAAGAGGGGAGCCCAGAAGGCCACAAACGUUAACAAGGUCUCUGAGGUCAUUCAGGGAAAAGAAGAAAGUCCAGCACAAUUCUACGAGAGACUGUGUGAGGCCUAUCAUAUAUAUACUCCCUUUGAUCCCGAUAGCCCUGAAAAUCAGCGCAUGAUUAACAUGGCUUUAGUAGUCAAAGCGCAGAAGACAUUAGAAGAAAACUGCAGAAACAGGCUGGGUUUGCAGGGAUGAAUAUAUCACAGUUAUUAGAUAUAGCUCACCAGGUGUUUGUAAACAGGGAUGCAGUAAGCCGUAAGGAAAAUCGCAAAGAGAAUGAACGCCAGGCCCGGCGAAACGCCAACCUGUUGGCUGCAGCAAUUAGAGGGGUCCCCCUAAAGAGGCAAGGGAAGGGCGGCUCUGGGAAAGAAACUCAGCCUGGCUGUCAGAGUCUGCAGCGUAACCAGUGUGCUUAUUGUAAAGAAACGGGACAUUGGAAGAACAAAUGCCCUCAGCUAAAAGGAAAACAAGGAGACUCAGAGCAGGAGGCCCCAGACAAGGAGGAAGAGACGCUGCUCAACCUGGCAGAAGGCUUGUUGGACUGAGGGGGACCGGGCUCAAGUGCCCCCAAAGAGCCUACGGUCAGGAUGACAGUCGGGGGUAAAGACAUUGAUUUUCUUGUAGAUACUGGUGCUGAACAUUCUGUAGUAACCGCCCCAGUCGCCCCCUUAUCCAAAAAGACUAUUGACAUAAUCGGAGCCAUGGGAGUUUCAGCAAAGCAAGCUUUCUGCUUGCCUCGGACUUGUACUGUAGGAGAACAUAAAGCGAUUCAUCAGUUUUUGUACAUGCCUGACUGUCCUUUGCCCUUGUUGGGAAGGGACUUGCUUAGCAAGCUGAGAGCCACUAUCUCUUUUACAGAGCAUGGCUCUUUGCUGCUAAACUUACCUGGAACGGGAAUCAUUAUGACCCUUAUGGUACCCCGAGAGGAGGAAUGGAGGCUUUUCUUAACUGAGCUGGUCCAAGAGAUAAGACCAAGCUAAGCGGUGGCCAAAAGUGUGAGCCGAAGACAACCCUCCAGGGUUAGCAGUCAACCAAGCCCACGUACUUAUAGAAGUUAAGCCUGGGGCCCAGCCGGUGAGGCAAAAACAGUACCCGGUCCCCAGAGAAGCUCUUGAAGGUAUCCAGGUCCAUCUCAAGCGCCUAAGAACCUUUGGAAUUAUAGUUUCUUGUCAGUCUCCAUGGAAUACUCCCCUCCUGCCGGUUCCGAAGCCAGGGACCAAGGACUACAGGCCAGUACAGGAUUUGCGCUUGGUUAAUCAAGCUACAGUGACUUUACAUCCAACGGUACCUAACCCGUACACAUUGUUGGGGUUGCUGCCAGUUGAGGACACCUGGUUCACCUGCUUGGACCUGAAAGACGCUUUCUUUAGCAUCAGAUUAGCCCCUGAGAGCCAGAAGCUCUUUGCCUUUCAGUGGGAAGAUCCGGAGUCAGGUGUCACUACUCAGUACACUUGGACCCAGCUUCCCGAAGGGUUCAAGAACUCCCCCACCAUCUUUGGGGAGGCAUUGGCUCGAGACCUCCAGAAGUUUUCCACCAGAGACAUAGGUUGCGUGUUGCUCCAGUACGUCGAUGACCUUCUGCUGGGACACCCCACAGCAGUUGGGUGCGCCAAGGGAACGGAUGCCCUACUCCGGCACCUGGAGGACUGUGGGUAUAAAGUGUCCAAGAAAAAAGCUCAGAUCUGCCUACAGAAGGUAUGUUACCUGGGAUUUACUAUCCGACAGGGGGAGCGCAGCCUGGGAUCAGAAAGAAAGCAGGUCAUUGGCAAUCUACCGGAGCCUAAGAGCAGAAGACAGGUGAGAAAAUUCUUAGGAGCUGUGGGAUUUUGCAGACUGUGAAUACCAAACUUUGCAAUAGUAGCCAAGCCUUUGUAUGAGGUCACAAAGGAGGGGGGGACCGGGAACUUUUUGAAUGGGGAUCCCAACAACAGCAAGCCUUUCAUGAGUUAAAGGAAAAACGUAUGUCAGCCCCGGCCCUGGGACUACCUGAUCUGACAAAGCCUUUUACAUUGUAUGUGUCAGAGAGAGAAAAGAUGGCAGUUGAAGUUUUAACCCAAAAGGUGGGGCCCUGGCUGAGGCCAGUGGCUUACCCUCUUGAAACAACUAGACGGGGUUUCUAAAGGAUGGCCCCCUUGUUUGAGGGCCUUGGCAGCAACUGCUCUACUAGUACAAGAAGCAGAUAAGCUGACUCUUGGGCAAAACCUGAACAUAAAGGCCCCCCAUGCUGUGGUGACUUUAAUGAACACUAAAGGACAUCAUUGGUUAACGAAUGCUAGACUCACCAAGUACCAAAGUUUGCUCUGUGAGAAUCCCCGCAUAACCAUUUAGGUUUGUAAUACCCUGAAUCCUGCCACCUUGCUCCCAGUGUCAGAGAGCCCUGUCAAGCAUGACUGUGUAGAAGUGUUGGACUCAGUUUACUCUAGCAGACCUGACCUCCGGGACCAGCCUUGGGCAUCAGUAGACUGGGAACUAUACGUGGAUGGGAGCAGCUUCAUCAACCCACAAGGAGAGAGAUGUGCAGGGUAUGCAGUGGUAACCCUGGACACUGUUGUUGAAGCCAGAUCGUUGCCCCAGGGCACUUCAGCCCAGAAAGCUGAACUCAUUGCUUUAAUUCGGGCCUUAGAACUCAGUGAAGGUAAGACUGUAAACAUUUACACUGAUUCUCGGUAUGCCUUUUUAACUCUUCAAGUGCAUAGAGCAUUAUAUAAAGAAAAGGGUCUAUUGAACUCUGGGGGAAAGGACAUAAAAUAUCAACAAGAAAUCUUACAAUUAUUAGAAGCAGUAUGGAAACCCCACAAGGUGGCAGUUAUGCAUUGCAGAGGACGCCAGCGAGCUUCCAUCUUGGUGGGUUUGGGGAAUUCCCGCGCUGACUCAGAGGCUCGAAAAGCAGCAACUGCCCCCUUCUGGGCAUCAGUCACAGCCCCCCUGCUCCCUCGAGCACCUGAUCUUGUACCUACUUAUUCUAAAGAAGAAAAGGACUUUCUCCAGGCAGAGAGAGGACAAGAGAUGGAGGAAGGAUGGAUUUGGUUACCAGAUGGGAGAGUAGCUGUGCCACAGCUGCUAGGAGCUGCAGUUAUACUGGCUGUGCAUGAAACCACCCAUCUAGGUCAGGAGUCACUUGAAAAGUUGCUAGGUCGGUAUUUCUACAUCUCGCAUUUGUCAGCCCUUGCCAAAACGGUGACGCAGCAGUGUGUUACCUGCCAAAAGCAUAAUGCGAGACAAGGUCCAGCCGUUCCGCCUGGCAUACAAGCUUAUGGAGCAGCCCCCUUUGAAGACCUCCAGGUGGACUUCACAGAGAUGCCAAAGUGUGGAGGUAACAAGUAUUUACUAGUUCUUGUGUGUACCUAGUCUAGGUGGGUUGAGGCUUAUCCAACACGAACUGAGAAAGCUCGUGAAGUAACCCGUGUGCUUCUUCGAGAUCUUAUUCCUAGAUUUGGACUGCCCUUACGGAUCAGCUCAGAUAACGGGCCGGCGUUUGUGGCUGACUUGGUACAGAAGACAGCAAAGGUAUUGGGGAUCACAUGGAAAUUGCAUGCUGCCUACCGGCCUCAGAGUUCAGGAAAGGUGGAGCGGAUGAAUCGGACUAUCAAAAAGAGUUUAGGGAAAGUAUGUCAGGAAACAGGAUUAAAAUGGAUACAGGCUCUCCCUAUGGUAUUAUUUAAAAUUAGAUGUACCCCUUCUAAAAGAACAGGAUAUUCUCCUUAUGAAAUAUUAUAUCAUAGGCCCCUUCCCAUAUUGUAGGGACUUCCAGGCACUCCCCGAGAGUUAGGUGAAAUUGAGUUACAGCUACAGUUACAGGUUUUAGGGAAAAUUACACAAACAAUCUCAGCCUGGGUAAAUGAGAGACGCCCUGUUAGCUUAUUCUCCCCAGUUCACCCUUUCUUCCCAGGUGAUCAAGUGUGGAUCAAGGACUGGAAUGUAGCCUCUUUGUGCCCACGGUGGAAAGGACCCCAGACUGUUAUCUUGACCACUCCCACCGCUGUGAAGGUAGAGGGAAUCCCAGCCUGGAUCCACCACAGCCGUGUAAAACCUGCAGCGCCUGAAACCUGGGAGGCAAGACCAAGCCCGGAUAACCCUUGCAGAGUGACCCUGAAGAAGACAACAAGCCCUGCUCCAGUCACACCCGGAAGCUGACUGGUCCACGCACGGCUGAAACAUGAGGAAUCUCAUCGUGGGAUUCAUUUUUCUUAAAUUUUGGACUUAUACAGUAAGGACUUCAAUUGACCUUACUCAAACUGGUGACUGUUCCCAGUGUAUUCAUCAGGUCACUGAGGUAGGACAACAAAUUAAAACAAUCUUUCUGUUCUAUAGUUAUUAUGAAUGUAUGGGAACGUUGAAAGAAACUUGUUUGUAUAAUGCCACUCAGUACAAGGUAUGUAGCCCGGGAAAUGACCAAUCUGAUGUGUGUUAUAACCCAUCUGAGUCCCCUGCAACCACCGUUUUUGAAAUAAGAUUAAGAACUGGCCUUUUCCUAAGUGAUACAAGUAAAAUAACAACUAGAACAGAAGGAAAAGGAAUCCCCAAACAAGUAAUUUUAAGAUUUGAUGCUUGUGCAGCCAUUAAUAGUAACAAGCUAAGAACAGGAUGUGGUUCUCUUAACUGGGAAAGGAGCUACAGAGUAGAAAAUAAAUAUGUUUGUCUUGAGUCAGGGGUUUGUGAAAAUUGUGCCUUUUGGCCAUGUGUUAUUUGGGCUACUUGAAAAAAGAACAAAAAGGACCCGGUUCAUCUUCAGAAGGGGGAAGCCAGCCCCUCCUGUGCUGCUGGUCACUGUAACCCACUGGAACUAAUAAUCGCCAAUCCCCUAGACCCCCAUUGGAAAAAGGGAGAACGUGUAACCCUGGGGAUCGAUGGGACAGGGUUAAACCCCCACGUUGCUAUUUUAGUCCGAGGGGAGGUCUACAGGCGCUCUCCCAAACCAGUGUUUCAAACCUUUUAUGAGGAGUUGAAUCUGCCAGCACCAGAAUUUCCGAAAAAGACAAAAAAUUUGUUUCUCCAAUUAGCAGAAAAUGUAGCUUAUUCCCUUAAUGUUAAUUCUUGUUAUGUGUGCAGGGGAACCACUAUUGGAGACCGAUGGUCUUGGGAAGCCCGAGAGUUGGUGCCCACUGAUCCAGCUCCUGGUAUAAUUCCAGUUCAGAAGGCCCAAGCUAGCAACUUCCGGGUCUUAAAAACCUCAAUUAUUGGACAAUACUGUAUAGCUAGAGAAGGAAAAGACUUCACCAUCCCUGUAGGAAAGCUUAAUUGUAUAGGACAGAAGUUGUACAACAGCACAACAAAAACAAUUAGUUGGUGGGGCCUAAAUCACACUGAAAAGAACCCAUUCAGUAAAUUUUCUACAUUAAAAACUGCCUGGGCUCAUACAGAAUCUUAUCAGGACUGGAAGGCUCCUGCUAGACUAUACUGGAUAUGUGGGCACAGAGCCUAUAUUCGGUUACCUAAUAAAUGCAUAGGUAGUUGUGUUAUUGGCACUAUUAAACCGUCCUUUUUCUUAUUACCUGUAAAAACGGGUGAGCUCCUAGGUUUCCCUGUCUAUGCCUCCUGAGAAAAGAGAGGCAUAGUUAUAGGAAACUGGAAAGAUAAUGAGUGGCCUCCUGAAAGGAUCAUACAGUAUUAUGGGCCGGCCACAUGGGCACAAGAUGGCUCAUGGGGAUACUGGACCCCCAUUUCCAUGCUCAAUCGGAUCAUACGGUUGCACGCUGUCUUAGAAAUAAUUACUAAUGAAACUGGCAGAGCUUUGACUGCUUUAGCUCGGCAGGAAACCCAAAUGAGAAAUGCUAUCUAUCAGAAUAGACUGGCCUUGGACUACCUGCUGGCA